GACGAACGCUGGCGGCGUGCUUAACACAUGCAAGUCGAACGAAGUGGCGAACGGGUGAGUAACGCGUAAUCAACCUGCCCUUCAGAGGGGGAUAACAUUUGUAAACGACUGCUAAUACCUCAUACUGAAGGUGGGGAUUGCGUCUGAUUAGCUAGUUGGAGGGGUAACGGCCCACCAAGGCGAUGAUCAGUAGACGGUCUGAGAGGAUGAACGGCCAGAUUGGGACUGAGGCACGGCCCAGACUCCUACGGGAGGCAGCAGUGGGGAAUCUUCCGCAAUGGACGAAAGUCUGACGGAGCAAAGCCGCGUGAGAGAUGACGGCCUUCGGGUUGUAAAGCUCUGUUAAUCGGGACGCGGUACCGGAAUAGAAAGCCACGGCUAACUACGUGCCAGCAGCCGCGGUAAUAC
rnacentral:rRNA from 1 species